GCCUGUAGCUCAGUUGGCAGAGCAUCGGACUUUUAAUCCGCUGGUCCCGGGUUCGAGCCCCGGCGGG
rnacentral:tRNA from 1 species